AAGACUAUACGUCACAGGAUCAUUUCUGUAGUUUCUCUUCAUUUACAUUUUUUGGAAAUCGACCCGCGAUGACGAGGUAUAUCGUUUUAUCUGACAGCGUGAGGUUUAUGAAUUUCAUUUCUAAUUUUGUCUUGUGGCAUAUUAGGAAAGAUGUUUCAUCGAAAAUCGCUCGCUUCUUCUUCUUCUUUACUAGCGUAGAUACCGCUUACGCGAU